GUACUGAUGAAGAGUCCCAAACUAGGACGAAAUAACUGUCUAGUAU
rfam:Trichobilharzia regenti genome assembly, scaffold: TRE_contig0005504